GACGAACGCUGGCGGCGCGCUUAACACAUGCAAGUCGAACGCACCUUUCGGGGUGAGUGGGCGGACGGGUGAGUAACACGUGGGAACGUGCCCUCUAAGUUCGGAAUAACCCAGGGAAACUUGGGCUAAUACCGGGAUAAGCCCUUCGGGGGAAAGGAUUGAUCGCUAGAGGAUCGGCCCGCGUCUGAUUAGCUAGUUGGUAGGGUAAUGGCCUACCAAGGCGACGAUCAGUAGCUGGUCUGAGAGGAUGAUCAGCCACACUGGGACUGAGACACGGCCCAGACUCCUACGGGAGGCAGCAGUGGGGAAUAUUGGACAAUGGGCGCAAGCCUGAUCCAGCCAU
rnacentral:rRNA from 1 species